UACGUAGGGUCCGAGCGUUGUCCGGAAUUACUGGGCGUAAAGAGCUCGUAGGUGGUUUGUCGCGUUGUUCGUGAAAACUCACAGCUCAACUGUGGGCGUGCGGGCGAUACGGGCAGACUAGAGGUAUGCAGGGGGAGAACGGAAUUCCUGGUGUAGCGGUGAAAUGCGCAGAUAUCAGGAGGAACACCGGUGGCGAAGGCGGGUCUCGUGGGCCGAUACUGACGCUGAGGAGCGAAAGCGUGGGGAGCAAACAGG
rnacentral:rRNA from 1 species